GGGGAAUCUUGCGCAAUGGGAGAAAUCCUGACGCAGCAACGCCGCGUGGGUGAUGAAGGAUUUCGGUUCGUAAAGCCCUGUCGGGGGGGACGAUAAUGACGGUACCCCUAAAGGAAGCACCGGCUAACUCCGUGCCAGCAGCCGCGGUAAUACGGAGGGUGCAAACGUUGUUCGGAAUUAUUGGGCGUAAAGCGCGCGUAGGCGGCUUGGUAGGUCGGAUGUGAAACCCCGGGGCUCAACCCCGGGCCUGCGUUCGAAACCGCUGGGCUUGAGUCUGGCAGGGAAAGGUGGAAUUCCUGGUGUAGGGGUGAAAUCCGUAGAGAUCAGGAGGAACACCGGUGGCGAAGGCGACCUUUUGGGCCAAGACUGACGCUGAGGUGCGAAAGCGUGGGGAGCAAAC
rnacentral:rRNA from 1 species